AGUUGCUGAGAACAGAUCUUAAAAGUUCUUAGACUCAGGAAGUUAUGUGUGUAUGCUCAGUUGUACCCGACUCUGUGCAGCCCCAUGGACUGUAGCCCGCCAGGCUCCUCUGCCCAUGGGGUUUUCCAAGCAAGAAAAAGAGUGGGUUGCCAUUUUCUCUUCCAGGGGAUCUUCCCGACCUAGGGAUCGAACCUGCGUCUCUUGCGUCUCCUGCAUUGACAGGCAGAUUCUUUACCUCUAGUGCCACCUGGGAAGCCCAGGAAAACUUAUAGGAAGUAAGAAAAAAAUAUGAGAUAAAGAUCCGAACACUACAAAUGACCUAGUCAUAUUGCACAAAUUUUCAGGUAACCCAGAAGUAUUGUCUUACAACAUCCUACAGGAAUCUUUCCCAUGCGGCCUGGGAGCAGAGAAUGCUGGUGGCAGGUCAUUGAUGCCUAGGAUCAAUAUCACUGAGGUCAACAAUCAAGAUUUUCCCAGUAACCCUCAACUUCUGUAGGUAACUUCACUGCAGACAGAGACAGAGGGAGGAAAUCUGCCGGAGGUCCCCAAACCAUGCAGCUGCGUGGGCCGAGAGCAGGCAUCUGGGAUCCCAGCUUCCCGACAAGAGAUCGAAGCGUCACCCUCUGCAUUGGAAAGCGAAGCCUGAAGCAUCGAACCACCAGAGAAGUACCUCUUCUAAGAUUUUUAAGGAACCCCCACACUGAUCUUCCUAGAGGGUGUUACCACUGACAUGGCCACCAGAAGCCGGGGGUUUCCCUUUUAUCCUC